CCUACGGGAGGCUGCAGUGAGGAAUAUUGGUCAAUGGACGAGAGUCUGAACCAGCCAAGUAGCGUGAAGGAUGACUGCCCGAUGGGUGGUAAACUUCUGUUAUAGGGGAAUAAAAUGUUCCACGUGUGGGAUUUUGUAUGGACCAUAUGAAUAAGGAUCGGCUAACUCCGUGCCAGCAGCCGAGGUAAUACGGAGGAUCCGAGCGUUAUCCGGAUUUAGUGGGGUUAAAGGGAGCGUAGGUGGAUUGUUAAGUCAGUUGUGAAAGUUUGCGGCUCAACCGUAAAAUUGCAGUUGAAACUGGCAGUCUUGAGUCCAGUAGCGGUGGGCGGAAUUCGUUGUGUAGCGGU
rnacentral:rRNA from 1 species